UACAGAGGUCUCAAGCGUUGUUCGGAUUCAUUGGGCGUAAAGGGUGUGUAGGUGGCGCCGUAAGUCGGGUGUGAAAUCUCGGGGCUUAACUCCGAAACUGCAUUCGAUACUGCGGUGCUUGAGGACUGGAGAGGAGACUGGAAUUCAUGGUGUAGCAGUGAAAUGCGUAGAGAUCAUGAGGAAGACCAGUGGCGAAGGCGGGUCUCUGGACAGUUCCUGACACUGAGACGCGA
rnacentral:rRNA from 1 species